rnacentral:rRNA from 1 species
CUAACACAUGCAAGUCGAACGGAAGUUAGAGCUUCGGUUUUAACUUUAGUGGCGAACGGGUGAGUAACGCGUGAGGAACCUGCCUUUCAGUGGGGGACAACAGUUGGAAACGACUGCUAAUACCGCAUGAUGCUUUUGGGAGACAUCUCCUGGAAGCCAAAGCUUUAUGUGCUGAAAGAUGGCCUCGCGUCUGAUUAGCUAGUUGGUGAGGUAACGGCUCACCAAGGCGACGAUCAGUAGCCGGUCUGAGAGGAUGAACGGCCACAUUGGGACUGAGAUACGGCCCAGACUCCUACGGGAGGCAGCAGUGGGGAAUAUUGGGCAAUGGGGGAAACCCUGACCCAGCAACGCCGCGUGAAGGAAGAAGGCCUUCGGGUUGUAAACUUCUUUUACCAGGGACGAAGGACGUGACGGUACCUGGAGAAAAAGCAACGGCUAACUACGUGCCAGCAGCCGCGGUAAUACGUAGGUUGCAAGCGUUGUCCGGAUUUACUGGGUGUAAAGGGCGUGUAGGCGGAGAUGCAAGUUGGGAGUGAAAUCCAUGGGCUCAACCCAUGAACUGCUCUCAAAACUGUAUCCCUUGAGUAUCGGAGAGGCAAGCGGAAUUCCUAGUGUAGCGGUGAAAUGCGUAGAUAUUAGGAGGAACACCAGUGGCGAAGGCGGCUUGCUGGACGACAACUGACGCUGAGGCGCGAAAGCGUGGGGAGCAAACAGGAUUAGAUACCCUGGUAGUCCACGCUGUAAACGAUGAAUACUAGGUGUGGGAGGACUGACCCCUUCCGUGCCGCGGUUAACACAAU